CCUACGGGUGGCUGCAGUGGGGAAUAUUGGACAAUGGGGGCAACCCUGAUCCAGCCAUGCCGCGUGUGUGAAGAAGGCCCUCGGGUUGUAAAGCACUUUCAGUGAGGAAGAACGCCUGGUGGUUAAUACCCAUCAGGAAAGACAUCACUCACAGAAGAAGCACCGGCUAACUCCGUGCCAGCAGCCGCGGUAAUACGGAGGGUGCGAGCGUUAAUCGGAAUUACUGGGCGUAAAGCGCGCGUAGGUGGCUUGAUAAGCCGGUUGUGAAAGCCCCGGGCUCAACCUGGGAACGGCAUCCGGAACUGUCAAGCUAGAGUGCAGGAGAGGAAGGUAGAAUUCCCGGUGUAGCGGUGAAAUGCGUAGAGAUCGGGAGGAAUACCAGUGGCGAAGGCGGCCUUCUGGACUGACACUGCCACUGAGGUGCGAAAGCGUGGGUAGCAAACAGGAUUAGAUACCCCGGUAGUC
rnacentral:rRNA from 1 species